UACGUAGGGUGCGAGCGUUAAUCGGAAUUACUGGGCGUAAAGCGUGCGCAGGCGGUUUUGUAAGACAGAUGUGAAAUCCCCGGGCUUAACCUGGGAACUGCGUUUGUGACUGCAAGGCUAGAGUACGGCAGAGGGGGGUGGAAUUCCACGUGUAGCAGUGAAAUGCGUAGAUAUGUGGAGGAACACCGAUGGCGAAGGCAGCCCCCUGGGCCUGUACUGACGCUCAUGCACGAAAGCGUGGGGAGCAAAC
rnacentral:rRNA from 2 species